rnacentral:rRNA from 1 species
UACGUAGGGUGCAGGCGUUAAUCGGAAUUACUGGGCGUAAAGCGUGCGCAGGCGGUUUGCUAAGACAGGUGUGAAAUCCCCGGGCUUAACCUGGGAACUGCGCUUGUUACUGGCAGGCUUGAGUGUGGCAGAGGGGGGGUGGAAUUCCGCGUGUAGCAGUGAAAUGCGUAGAGAUGCGGAGGAACACCGAUGGCGAAGGCAGCCCCCUGGGCUGACACUGACGCUCAGGCACGAAAGCGUGGGGAGCAAACAGG